GGGAUGUGGGCCAGUGAGGGAGCCGGCCCUAGGAGCUGGAGCAGAUGAGAGGAGGUGACUCCAGCAAUGAGAGGAGUGAGCCAGGGUCCAGCACAGCUCUUGACACCGGGGGCCCCUUCUGACUGGGGACGCUGAACCGCCGUGUGGAAGACAUGCCUGGUCCGUUGCUCUCCUACCUUCUCCGGGGCCCGUGGUGACGUUGGCUUCGAUCUCCGGCCCGUAGGUGAAGGUCUUGGCUCUGAUGCGGAACCUGUAGGUCACCCCCUCCGCCAGGUCCUUCACCUUCAGCCACAGGGGGCUGUUCCCCUUCACGUCCACGGUCACGAUCUUGCUGACUCCUGGGGGAGGCACAGCAAGUGGGGACUGGGCACAGGGCCCACCGAGGGCACUGGAGGCCAUGGGGAAGGGGAAGCGGCCGUGGCCUGGGCCCCGGGACCCUGGGUAGGGGCCUCACUCCUUGAGGUCAGGCUGAAAUGCACCCCCAGCCCACACAACCACAUUGCCCAUGCUGUGUUUCUCACAGCACGGUCCUGCCUGCUGUUCUCAGGGAGAACGGCUCCAUGGUUCAGUAUGUUUGGGAAAAGCUACUACUGUCUGUGUCUACUGAGUAGCCACAGGGUCCAUCAUCAGCAUCUACAGAAAAGAGAACACUCGCCAUCCUGUUUAAUGUAACCUCUGCACCCCAAAUAUGUUUCGGCUCCAUUGCUAUUCCCUUAUGCAGCAUCCCAUGGGACUAGAAUUAUAUCCUUUUUCAGGAAGUGCUUCCAUAAAAAUACCAAAAGCCCAGAGUUGCGGGGACACACUUUUGACCAGGUCCUCCACCUGAGCCCCACUCCAGCUCCACCUCUGGGGUUCAGCCAGGAGCUCACAUGGCCCUCCAGCACCUAUAUCUGCCACAAUUUUUUUUUUUUUUUUAAGACAAGGUCUUGCUCUGUUGCUCAGGCACAAUCAUGGCUCACUGUAGCCUCGACCUCCUGGGUUCAAGCCGUCCUGCCACUUUCAGCCUUCCAAGUAGCUAAGACUGUAGGUGUGCACCAUCAUGCCUGGCUAAUUUUUAAAUUUUUGUAGAGACAGGGUCUCAUUAUGUUGCCCAGGCUGGUCGCGAACUCCUGGCCUCAAGUGAUCCUCCCACCUUGGCCUCUCAAAGUGCUGGGAUUAUAGGCAUGAACCACUAUGCCCAGUCCACCAAGCUUUUUAGGGCAAAAGUGAGGAUGCCUCAGCACCCCAAAUCACAGCAACUAGAGGGGACGCUUGAGCCAGCUUUCAGGAGGUGGGGGUUUGCACUCUGUGCUUCGCGAAUCCAAAUACUCCUGACUGCCAGCCUCCCUGGGAGCCGGGGUUAGUGUCAUUUCCCAUGUCCAUCGAGCACGCCA
rnacentral:lncRNA from 10 species